GACGAACCGUGCGAACGUUGUUCGGAAUCACUGGGCUUAAAGGGAGCGUAGGCGGGCUAUCAAGUCUGGGGUGAAAUGCCGCGGCUCAACCGUGGAACUGCCUUAGAUACUGACGGCCUCGAGGAAGAUAGGGGCAUGCGGAACUGUGAGUGGAGCGGUGAAAUGCGUUGAUAUUCACAGGAACUCCGGUGGCGAAAGCGGCGUGCUGGAUCUUUUCUGACGCUGAGGCUCGAAAGCUAGGGGAGCAAACGGG
rnacentral:rRNA from 1 species